CUCCUAUGUCCAUUGCAGCAGUCUUCACAAUAGCCAAAAUCUGGAAACAACUUAAGUGCCCACGAACAGACAAGUAGAUAAAGAAACUAUGGCACACUGACCCAGUGGGAUAUACUCGGCUGAAAGAAAAGAUGAAGUCAUGCCAUCUUGUGCAACAUCGUUGGAUCUGCAGAGUAUCGUGCUGAAUGAAGUGUCAAAGGAAGAGCUCAAUAGCGGUGGAUUUGGUUUACUUUGAAAAGCUAAAUAUAUACCCACGAAACAUGCACCGACUACAAAGAAAACUUGAGCAAAUUCAAGAUAGUAUCAUCAAAAUGCUCUAUCGCUCUCACUUAGGAGAUGAUUGUGGUUAAUGCUUAUCCGAUAGAACACCGCAGCUGUUGAGAAGCAGUUGGACUGCAGAACAAGCCAGUCUUCAAAGCCUAAUAUGAAUCCCAAAUUCUGAAAUCCAAAAAGUGCAGGAAAACAAAGGAUUUUUUUGAUGAGUUUGGAACCAACUCAUUGGGUUGCAAAACUUGACCUAAAGUGACAAAGGUCUAUUUUGUUCACUUUUGUCUUUUGUCCACUUAAUGUAACUAUUCAUAAUUGUU